GUGAAUAAAGUGUUUCUUCCUUGCAAAAACCCCCACCAACUCUCAGCCCAGUGAUGCAGUUUCAGUGUGUCACGGACGCAGAAUCAGCUCAGGUUCCAUCUUGGUAAAAUUGGUGCAAACCCCACAAGGCUUCAGGUGCCUGAAACCUGCACCUGGGGUCACAGCACAGGGUUUUUCCAGAGGUCUGGGAAGGGACAUCUCCCCCCGCUUUGUUCAUUUUUGCCAGGGUUGAAAUGAGUGCAGGGCUUUGCCCUCAGCUCCCGUACCUGGGGGACAUGGGGACAUCGCUUGGUGGCCGGUCCCACCCAAAGAAGGGUGCUUAUGCUGCUGGGACAGUUCUGCCUGUGGUCUCAUCUUGCUCGUUGGCUGCAAGCUCUUGGCACUCAUAAACAAAGCCGGGAACCUCUUGCUGCACACUUUCUCCUGGCUGACAUUUCCCUUGUGGGAGUGAUAGGGCAGGGAAAGGCUGAGCCCUGCUCUUAAGCUCUGCCACAAAAUGUCUCCAGCAAGCCAGUGUGCCGUGCCUCAGUUUCCCCACACGCCCCAUGGAAAUGAUGCUAUUGCCACACAGGACUUUGGCAAAGCACUGGGAGAUCAAUGUUCACACACAGUGCUUCAUUACCAGGGAGCUGUGGGACCUGCUGCUCAUUCCUCUCGUCCUAAGGCAGGGGUUUAAAAUAGCUUCUGUGACUCACUGUGCCCAGAAGGGCCCAAAGGUGCCACCUCCAAGCCCGUGUGUGCAUUUCCAGCAUGUCUGGCUGCUGCUCACCUCCCAUUCCCAGGAAGCGAUGUGAUAAAGAGAGUUUGUUGCCUUUGCUGUGGCUGAGCACCGUGCUGGAUAUGGGAAGGCAAAGGUUGGAUGUUAGGAUACAUUUCUUCUCGGAAGGAGCGGCGAUGCAUUGUCACAGGCUGCCCUGGAAGGUGGUGGGGUCACCAUCCCUGGAGUUGUUCAAGAUGUGGCACUGAGAGAUGUGGUCAGUGGGCUUGGUGUGCUGGGGUCGGACUUGGGGAUCUUAGUGGUCUUUUCUGACCUUAGCGAUUCUAUGAUGUAAAAGCAGCAGGAACAGCUAGACGAGUAAUAAAACAUCCAUCAUCUCCAACCCAACCCUGCUGUUCUUGUCUGGGAGAAGGGAAACUUGCCUAUUGUGACUGGACAACCUUCGAGGUCCCUCACAACCCAAGCCAUUCUAUGCUAUUGACUUUGGGUCUCCCAUCGCCAUACUCCUAGAGGUGCAGGACAUGGAUGGACCUGGUGGCUCUUGGCUACACGAAGGUGCCAGCAGGAGGGAAGGCUGCAGCGCAGGGCACAGCGAUGGUGGACGGGAUCACCAGCGGCAGACGGAAACGCCGCAGCUGUCAGCGCGCUGAGCAGCGCCGGACCAACUCGGCCCUUUUCUAAGAAACGCCGCAGCAGUUGUGAGUGUUUACGGGAAGGGUGGGCUGUGCUCAACCCGGGCAGCCGCGAUAGCAGCGGGAGGAUGCGGCGCGGGGGCUCUGCGCUGCUCUGCUUUCGUGUAAGAGCUGCUUCCCGGAUGGUCCGGAGGAAAAGCGAGAGGGGAGGUUCAAUGCAAACCGCAUCUCUAAAUAGGGCUGAACUUUGAAGGCAUUCGGAGCAGUGCUUCCUGCUCUGAGCGGCCUCGAGGAGGAGAUGAAAGAUGCAGCUGAGCAGGGAAAAAAAAGCUAAACAAACGGAAUUAACGCUUUGUGCAGAGAUGCAGCAGCGACACAACACGGGACUGCAUCCAGAGCUGGGACAGAGCUCUAGGAACCCCAGUUCCCAAAAAGCAGCUCUACUUGGAGAAGAGAGCAUAGGGAACGGGAUAGGAAUGCUGUUUUUAUGCGCUGGCAUAAAUCAAGGAAUGGCCCGAUUGGGUUGAGCUGGGGGUCUUGCAGAGUAACUUUCAGACUGCUCGGUGCCCUUCCUUGCGGCAGGAACAGCACAAUCCCGUGAUGGGCAUCCUCCACAAAGCAGCACGGUGCCAACAGCUCAGUAGUAGCCGAGUGCCAACAUUCUCAUGACAUCAAAUGAAACAAAACAAAACCUGACCAACAGCCCCAAAGCCAAAGUGUUGCAGAGCUGGGAAGUGGGGUUUGACAGCUCAGAAAGUAUAACACGAGCAAAGUGUCACCGCUGCCGACCGACAGUAACCGACUUCCCGUAACCUGGCCAUGGGCUUCCUCUGGGGCUGGAGGUGGGGACAGCACAACGCCAGCUGCCUGCACCCCGUGCAACACCCCCAGCACCCACACAACACCAACAUCCCCCGCGCCGACAGAGCCGGAGCAACAGGCUCGGCAGUGCCCGAAUGUAAUUGGGCUGACAACAUCCGGUGUUUCGCAAGCUGGCUUUGAUGUCUGUUUACUCUCCAUCCCCAGCACAUGCUCCUCAGCGGCCUGCAGCAGACAGGAGGGCUCUGCACUGCUUUGAUCUCUCCCAGACCUGCGGGGAGUGGUUGAGCUGAAGACACCCUGGAGGGCCGUGCUGCCCCACGGGGCUGGAGCCUUCGGGGCUGGGCUGUGUCCUCCUCUCAUCUCCAUCGGGAUGCUGCAGCCCCGUGAGGGGUCAGUACCCCACUUGCUCCCACUUCUCUCCGUCCCACCCUGCGUAAUAAAGGGAUGCCUCCGUUCCAUGAUUUUCUUUUUAUUUAAAACCGCAUUGUAUAAAAAAAAUAGGAUUUCUGAAUUCCCCUGUACAAUAUUAACUAUUAACAAAAACCCGCCAGCGACACGCAGGUUGCAUGUAGAGACAACAGCGCUCUCUGCAAGCUCAGCCCAAAGAGUGCGUGGGCACACACAGCCCCCCCCAGCCCCAAAAACCCCAAAUCCAUCCGUGAUGUGGGACAGACACAUGGACACAGAGCGAAAUCCGACUGGGCACCGAGGGUCAGCAGCUGCAGAAGCAAGGCAUGGGUCGGGGACCCACGUGGGUUAUAAAUAAAUAAAUAAGUUAUCCUCCUGGCUCAGGCUCUUCCUUGCAAAAAACAAACAAACAAAAAAACAAACAAAAAUAAAAAAACAAAA